UACAGAGGGUGCAAGCGUUGCUCGGAUUUACUGGGCGUAAAGCGUACGCAGACGGCAAGGCAGGUCGGAUGUGAAAGCCCCGGGCUCAACCCGGGAAAUGCAUCCGAAACCGCCUCGCUCGAGGAUGGGAGAGGGAAGCGGAAUUCCUGGUGUAGAGGUGAAAUUCGUAGAUAUCAGGAGGAACACCGGUGGCGAAGGCGGAUCUCUGGGCCAUUACUGACGCUGAGGAGCGAAAGCGUGGGGAGCGAACAGG
rnacentral:rRNA from 1 species